CUACGGGGUGCAGCAGUGGGGAAUCUUGGACAAUGGGGGCAACCCUGAUCCAGCGAUGCCGCGUGAAUGAAGAAGGCCUUAGGGUUGUAAAGUUCUUUCACCCGUGACGAUAAUGACGGUAGCGGGAGAAGAAGCCCCGGCUAACUCCGUGCCAGCAGCCGCGGUAAGACGGAGGGGGCUAGCGUUGUUCGGAAUGACUGGGCGUAAAGGGCGUGUAGGCUGUUAAUCAAGUCAGGCGUGAAAGCCUUAGGCUUAACCUAAGAAUUGCGUUUGAUACUGGUUGACUUGAGGACGAGAGAGGAAAGUGGAAUUCCGAGUGUAGAGGUGAAAUUCGUAGAUAUUCGGAGGAACAUCAGAGGCGAAGGCGGCUUUCUGGCUCGUUACUGACGCUGAGGCGCGAAAGCAUGGGGAGCAAACAGGAUUAGAUACCCUGGUAGUC
rnacentral:rRNA from 1 species